AGAGUUUGAUCAUGGCUCAGAGCGAACGUUAGCGGCGGGCCUAACACAUGCAAGUCGAGGGAGAAAGGGGCUUCGGCCCUGAGUAAACCGGCGGACGGGUGAGUAACACGUGGGUAAUGUACCUACCGGCGGGGGAUAACAAUCCGAAAGGAUUGCUAAUACCGCAUUCGCUGGCAAGAUCUCCGGAUCUUGCCAGGAAAGAUGGCCUCUCAACGAAGCUAUCACCGGUAGAUCAGCCCGCGUCCCAUCAGCUUGUUGGUGAGGUAAUGGCUCACCAAGGCAAAGACGGGUAGCUGGUCUGAGAGGAUGAUCAGCCACACUGGGACUGAGACACGGCCCAGACUCCUACGGGAGGCAGCAGUGGGGAAUAUUGGGCAAUGGGCGCAAGCCUGACCCAGCCACGCCGCGUGAGUGAUGAAGGCCUUCGGGUCGUAAAGCUCUGUGGGGAGGGACGAAACAGUUGCCGGCUAAUAUCCGGCGACCCUGACGGUACCUCCUUAGCAAGCACCGGCUAACUCCGUGCCAGCAGCCGCGGUAAUACGGAGGGUGCAAACGUUGCUCGGAAUCAUUGGGCGUAAAGCGCGCGUAGGCGGCCUAGCAAGUCGGGUGUGAAAUCCCUCGGCUUAACCGAGGAAGUGCAUUCGAAACUACAAGGCUUGAAUACUCAAGAGGGUCUCGGAAUUCCCGGUGUAGAGGUGAAAUUCGUAGAUAUCGGGAGGAACACCAGUGGCGAAGGCGGAGACCUGGGGAGAUAUUGACGCUGAUGUGCGAAAGCGUGGGGAGCAAACAGGAUUAGAUACCCUAGUAGUCC
rnacentral:rRNA from 1 species